rnacentral:sRNA from 1 species
GCUGGGCUUAGUGGUGCAUGCCUGUAAUCCCAGUGGCUAGGGAGGCUGAGACAGGAGGAUCACAAGUUCAAAUCCAGCCUCAGCAAAAAUCAAGGUAGUAGGCAACUGAGUGAGACCCUUUCUCUA